UUCUAUAUUAUGUAUUGCCUUGAAUUGCUGUGACUAAGUUAACAAAUUUCAUGUCACAUGCAGUGAUAAUAAACCUGAUUCUGAUUCUGAGAAAGAGGCUUUCGUCACAGAAGAGAGUGCUGUUCCAGUGACAUAAAGGGUGCCCGCCUGAACAGAUCCCAAGCCCAAGGCAUUCACUGUAAAUACAAAGAAGCACAAUAGAAUCAACAAUGACCUACAUACAAACCAAGAUGGACAAACAACGCACACAAAAUGCUGGCGGAACGCUGCAGGCCAGGCAGCAUCUAUAGGGAGAAGUGCUGUCGACGUUUCGGGCUGAGACCCUUCGUCAGGACUAACUGAAAGGAAAGAUAUGUUGCAGAUCCAUCUUCCUGGCUGUUGAAGAUCUGACCAUAGAUUUCAGCUGUCCGGUCCGCUGGAGCUGGUUUCCUAUGCUGGGAUGUAUGACGUUACAUGUCCCUAUCUCACCAGAGUAUGAGGUCUCCCAAUUACCCUCACCAGCCAAAGCGGUGUUCGGGGGUGUGGCCACUGUCACGUGCAACAACAACUUGGAG